AUUGGUGACAGGUGGUGCAUGGUUGUCGUCAGCUCGUGUCGUGAGAUGUUGGGUUAAGUCCCGCAACGAGCGCAACCCUUGUCUUUAGUUGCCAUCAUUAAGUUGGGCACUCUAGAGAGACUGCCAGGGAUAACCUGGAGGAAGGUGGGGAUGACGUCAAAUCAUCAUGCCCCUUAUGCUUAGGGCUACACACGUGCUACAAUGGGUAGUACAGAGGGUUGCCAAGCCGUAAGGUGGAGCUAAUCCCUUAAAGCUACUCUCAGUUCGGAUUGUAGGCUGAAACUCGCCUACAUGAAGCUGGAGUUACUAGUAAUCGCAGAUCAGAAUGCUGCGGUGAAUGCGUUCCCGGGUCUUGUACACACCGCCCGUCACACCA
rnacentral:rRNA from 1 species